AGGACGAACGCUGGCGGCGUGCUUAACACAUGCAAGUCGAGCGGAAAGGCCCUUCGGGGUACUCGAGCGGCGAACGGGUGAGUAACACGUGAGCAACCUGCCCUUAGCUUCGGGAUAGCUCCGGGAAACCGGAAUUAAUACCGAAUAUGACCAUGGCCGGAAUCGGCCAUGGUGGAAAGUUUUUCGGCUAGGGAUGGACUCGCGGCCUAUCAGCUAGUUGGUGAGGUAACGGCCCACCAAGGCGACGACGGGUAGCCGGCCUGAGAGGGCGACCGGCCACACUGGGACUGAGACACGGCCCAGACUCCUACGGGAGGCAGCAGUGGGAAUAUUGCGCAAUGGGCGAAAGCCUGACGCAGCGACGCCGCGUGGGGAUGAAGGCCUUCGGGUUGUAAACCCUUUCAGCAGGGACGAAGCGAGAGUGACGGUACCUGCAGAAGAAGCGCCGGCUAACUACGUGCCAGCAGCCGC
rnacentral:rRNA from 1 species